rnacentral:rRNA from 1 species
UACGUAGGGGGCUAGCGUUGUUCGGAAUUACUGGGCGUAAAGCGCACGUAGGCGGCUUUGCAAGUUAGAGGUGAAAGCCCGGGGCUCAACCCCGGAAUUGCCUUUAAAACUGCAUCGCUAGAAUUGUGGAGAGGUAAGUGGAAUUCCGAGUGUAGAGGUGAAAUUCGUAGAUAUUCGGAAGAACACCAGUGGCGAAGGCGACUUACUGGACACAUAUUGACGCUGAGGUGCGAAAGCGUGGGGAGCAAACAGG